AAGAAGGGAUAGCAGGAGGCCCCUGGAAUUGCCCAUCCACAAAGUUUGCUGCAUCUGAUCAGCAGAUGGAGCAGGGCCAGGCACACAGGUCACCUAGUCACUUUCUUCUCUGAUAUGCCUGCAGUUGGAGAUCUGUUUGCAGUAAAUUCUGGAAUCUCUAUUUGGGCUGCAGAGCUGCUCAUUUUCAUGUCAGUCCCUUCUGGAGUCCCAUUUGCAGCAGCUUUGAUGUCGGAUGCAAGCUUCCUGG